rnacentral:rRNA from 1 species
AUGGCGGAUGAUGAUGGACCUUGGUAUGCCGGAUUAAUCGAUGAAUGGGAUAAGGAGCAUCGUGCUCGUGCCAUUGAGAAUGGAAAUCAUGUAGUUGCUAUGCGCAUGAGGGGUCAUUCCGCUGAUGGCUUUACUUACGACCCGCGGUACGAGCCUUAUAUUCGGAGAUUGGGUAUUCUCCCAUUCGUGUUGCAGUUUAAGCGACGCGCUCCGCCGGUGAACCACGCGGCGUUGACCGCACUUGUGGAUCGUUGGAGGCCGGAGACUCACUCGUUCCACCUUCCAUGUGGGCAAUGCUGA